GAUGGAUGGAAAAUUCGAGCAUGGUUAUUCUGUGUGUGUCAAGGUCAGGACCCGGAUCCUUCACGGGGGUGCUCUAUCAUGCUCACCCUCUCAAUGCAACUCACAACUUUUCUUUGCUGAGGAGCAUGCAAAGCCAGAGUUUAGUAUACUCACAAGGAAAGGGAGUAUAGCAAGAUGAGGAAAGAAGGGUAUAUGAUGACUAUGGGAAGAGAGACAAGGAGAGGUAUAGGAGAGAGUUGCAAGAGUAAGAGGAAAGAAUGGGGUUUGUGCAACCUAGGGAGAGUUUUGCUGGUUCUUAAGUGACAAAGAAGACUGUCGAGUUUAAAGAGGAAGAUAGGUAGAGGAUUCAACACUGAAGGAUGGAUUUUAAUGAAGUUUUCUUGUGUUAAUUAGACCUUCAAAGUUUUGUACUAUCGAAUUCUAAGUAAUCCGAAGCUGGAGCAAUCAGUUUC